rnacentral:rRNA from 1 species
UACGUAGGGUGCAAGCGUUGUCCGGAAUUAUUGGGCGUAAAGAGCUCGUAGGCGGUCUGUCGCGUCGGAUGUGAAAAUCCAGGGGCUCAACCCUGGACCUGCAUUCGAUACGGGCAGACUAGAGUUCGGUAGGGGAGACUGGAAUUCCUGGUGUAGCGGUGAAAUGCGCAGAUAUCAGGAGGAACACCGAUGGCGAAGGCAGGUCUCUGGGCAUUAACUGACGCUGAGGAGCGAAAGCAUGGGGAGCGAACAGG